rnacentral:lncRNA from 1 species
CGCCCGAGCAGCUGAAGGAUAAGGGAACACGGAGUGGGCAGAUCAGGAGGAGCAGUGAGUACAUUAGACCAUAGAUUAAGAAAUAGUUUAAAGUGGUCCCUUGAGAUUAUUUAAUCAGGAGUAAACUGGACGGUUUGAAAAGGAGAGAUUACAGACCAGGAGGCAACUAACCCUGGUGAGAGUGGAGCAAAGGGAUGGUCUCUCGGCAGGAGCUGAGACUUCCUUCCAUUUCCUUAACCUUAAGCUGCACCAGGCAGCACAGUGCCUGGCCCACGGGUGGUCCUUGUAUCAACCCAGGGUAGUGACCAUCUCCCCUCCUGCAAUCCUCCUAGCAUCUAAUGCGGUACUUUGAACGACAUGCAUGCCUGUCAAAGUUGAUCCCCUGGGCUGAGGUAGAAGAGAGAGGGGCAGGAAGAGAGAGGAAAAGCAGGGCAGCCAGUGGUGGUCCCAAAGGACUUGCCAACAUCUUCCCUUUCCACAAGUGUAAUGAUGCACUCAUGUGAUUGGUUUAAUUCAAUAACUCUUUAAGACGAAAGAGCUAUCAAGGAUUAUAGCAUUGUUUUUUUUACUGUGAAAGGUCUUAAGAAUUUAAAUGUCCAUCUAUGGACUAUCGUGCUGUUGAGGUGUGGUCGCUGAUGGAAAGAAGUUAAUAAUUUGCAAUUUCAUUCAAAAGGAAAUCGAUGCUAGUCACCAUGUUCUUAAUCAUCCCGUCAAUGUAAAAACAUUAAUAAAAGGACCCUAUGUGUCAAGGAGAG